rnacentral:rRNA from 1 species
AUUGAACGCUGGCGGCAUGCUUUACACAUGCAAGUCGAACGGUAACAGGGUGCUUGCACCGCUGACGAGUGGCGAACGGGUGAGUAAUGCGUCGGAACGUGCCGAGUAGUGGGGGAUAACGCAGCGAAUGUUGUGCUAAUACCGCAUACGUACUGAGGUAGAAAGUGGGGGACCUUCGGGCCUCACGCUAUUCGAGCGGCCGACGUCUGAUUAGCUAGUAGGUGAGGUAAAGGCUCACCUAGGCGACGAUCAGUAGCGGGUCUGAGAGGAUAAUCCGCCACACUGGGACUGAGACACGGCCCAGACUCCUACGGGAGGCAGCAGUGGGGAAUUUUGGACAAUGGGCGAAAGCCUGAUCCAGCCAUGCCGCGUGUCUGAAGAAGGCCUUCGGGUUGUAAAGGACUUUAGUCAGGGAGGAAAUCCCUAGUGCUAAUAACACUGGGGGAUGACAGUACCUGAAGAAUAAGCACCGGCUAACUACGUGCCAGCCGCCGCCGUAA